AACGCAUAUUGCGCUUCCUGGUAUUCCGGGGAGCAUGCCCGUUUCAGAAUCAAUAAAAACCUCACCGCAACUUGGUGCUUUAGGGCAUUGAGGACCGGUGGAUGUGGAUUUUUUGCUUUGGCAAUGAUCUGAAAUUGAUUGUAUGCGCACCAACUGAUUUGUCUUUUGGCUGUCCAAGUGCAACAAGUGGUUUAUCCAUUUCGCUUAGGCGACUGAUUGACAAUGUUGAUGUGUUUACUCAACCUUUAUUUGUGAGGUGCCGGUUUGCAAAGACUGGACCCUCCAAAAACUUGAUCUGAAAUCGGGUAGGAAAACCCGCUGAACUUAA
rnacentral:misc_RNA from 1 species